rnacentral:rRNA from 1 species
AACGAACGCUGGCGGCAGGCUUAACACAUGCAAGUCGAACGCCCCGCAAGGGGAGUGGCAGACGGGUGAGUAACGCGUGGGAAUCUACCUAGUUCUACGGAACAACUGAGGGAAACUUCAGCUAAUACCGUAUACGCCCUAUGGGGGAAAGAUUUAUCGGAAUUAGAUGAGCCCGCGUAAGAUUAGCUAGUUAGUGAGGUAAUGGCUCACCAAGGCGACGAUCUUUAGCUGGUCUGAGAGGAUGAUCAGCCACACUGGGACUGAGACACGGCCCAGACUCCUACGGGAGGCAGCAGUGGGGAAUAUUGGACAAUGGGCGCAAGCCUGAUCCAGCCAUGCCGCGUGAGUGAUGAAGGCCUUAGGGUUGUAAAGCUCUUUCAGUAGGGAAGAUAAUGACGGUACCUACAGAAGAAGCCCCGGCUAACUUCGUGCCAGCAGCCGCCGUAAGAC